AACGAACGCUGGCGGCAUGCCUAACACAUGCAAGUCGAACGAGACCUUCGGGUCUAGUGGCGCACGGGUGCGUAACGCGUGGGAACCUGCCCUUAGGUUCGGAAUAACUCCCCGAAAGGGGUGCUAAUACCGGAUAAUGUCUUCGGACCAAAGAUUUAUCGCCUUUGGAUGGGCCCGCGUUGGAUUAGCUAGUUGGUAGGGUAAAAGCCUACCAAGGCGACGAUCCAUAGCUGGUCUGAGAGGAUGAUCAGCCACACUGGGACUGAGACACGGCCCAGACUCCGACGGGAGGCAGCAGUGGGGAAUAUUGGACAAUGGGCGAAAGCCUGAGCCAGCAAUGCCGCGUGAGUGAUGAAGGCCUUAGGGUUGUAAAGCUCUUUUACCCGGGAUGAUAAUGACAGGACCGGGAGAAUAAGCUCCGGCUAACUCCGU
rnacentral:rRNA from 1 species